UGGGGAAUAUUGCACAAUGGGCGCAAGCCUGAUGCAGCCAUGCCGCGUGUAUGAAGAAGGCCUUCGGGUUGUAAAGUACUUUCAGUCGGGAGGAAGGUGGUAAGGUUAAUAACCUUGGCAAUUGACGUUACCGACAGAAGAAGCACCGGCUAACUCCGUGCCAGCAGCCGCGGUAAUACGGAGGGUGCAAGCGUUAAUCGGAAUUACUGGGCGUAAAGCGCACGCAGGCGGUUGAUUGAGUCAGAGGUGAAAUCCCCGGGCUUAACCCGGGAAUUGCAUACUGUACUGGUCAGGUAGAGUCUUGUAGAGGGGGGUAGAAUUCCAUGUGUAGCGGUGAAAUGCGUAGAGAUGUGGAGGAAUACCGGUGGCGAAGGCGGCCCCCUGGACGAAGACUGACGCUCAGGUGCGAAAGCGUGGGGAGCAAACAGG
rnacentral:rRNA from 1 species